AUUGAACGCUGGCGGCAGGCCUAACACAUGCAAGUCGAACGAGUAGCGGACGGGUGGGUAAUGUCUGGGAAACUGCCUGAUGGAGGGGGAUAACUACUGGAAACGGUAGCUAAUACCGCAUACCAUCGGAUGUGCCCAGAUGGGAUUAGCGAGUAGGUGGGGUAAAGGCUCCCCUAGGCGACGAUCCCUAGCUGGUCUGAGAGGAUGACCGGCCACACUGGAACUGAGACACGGUCCAGACUCCUACGGGAGGCAACAGUGGGGAAUAGUGCACAAUUGGCGAAAGCCUGAUGCAGCCAUGCCGCGUGUAUGAAGAAGGCCUUCGGGUUGUAAAGUACUUUCGGUGGGGAGGCGUUACUCGCAGAAGAAGCACCGGCUAACUCCGUGCCAGCAGCCGCGGUAAUAC
rnacentral:rRNA from 1 species